rnacentral:lncRNA from 1 species
ACUGGUGAUAACUGCAGGGAUGUAUUUGAAAGCCACUGUACCCAUUUUUCUAGAUGAAAAUAUCUUCCCUUGAAUGGCCCAAGUGAAGGUAAAUGACUUCUAGUCUGCCCUCUCUGAAACCCAUGCCCCACUGCUCAUCAAAGAAGACUGAGGUCCUCAAAGAUGAGAAUGGCUGCCUAUUAAAGACCCUUCCAAUAGACUGCAGUACAAUAAUAUCACCGACUUGGAAGGCUGACUAUACUGUAUGCUGUUCACCUUUAAACUAAUUUGCAUUUAUUGGAUUCCAAACAAAGAAUUCUCCUGCCGCCUUCUUAUUAGAAGGAAGUGACAGACAAAGAGAGCUGAAGAAACCCCCAAAACUGCAGAGGAGUUUAAAAAAUAAUUCAAUGAGGUUGAAACUAAAUAUAUGAGGGAAGGAUUAAGAAGCAUGCCAAUAAAUUAGAGUUUGUUGACUCCCUGAGCUCAAAUUGUGUUACAUACUAAUAACUCAG